UACGGCCGUAUCACGUUGAAACACCGGUUCUCGUACGAUCACCGAAGUUAAGCAACAUCGAGUCAACUCAGUAACGGGAAGGACGACUGCUUGUGAAUACCAG